rnacentral:rRNA from 1 species
UACGUAGGGUGCGAGCGUUAAUCGGAAUUACUGGGCGUAAAGCGUGCGCAGGCGGUUCGCUAAGACAGAUGUGAAAUCCCCGGGCUUAACCUGGGAACUGCGUUUGUGACUGGCGGGCUGGAGUACGGCAGAGGGAGGUGGAAUUCCACGUGUAGCAGUGAAAUGCGUAGAGAUGUGGAGGAACACCGAUGGCGAAGGCAGCCUCCUGGGCCAGUACUGACGCUCAUGCACGAAAGCGUGGGGAGCAAACAGG